AAGUUUCUGAGGACGGAACUGGUAGCCGUAGCCCAUCAUAAGAUGUAGGAGAUGUGGGAGUACCAACCCACCUAAACUU
ncrna:unclassified sequences skipping-rope RNA